GAACCUUUUAAUCCAGUCCAGUGAGGCUGGCAAGGGCACGGAAUCGACAAGCAAGAGGUGACGGCAGGAGAGAUGAGGUUUCUCCUGUACCGCCUACUGAUUGUCCACCCUGCUUCUUGUCUCCUGACAAGAAGCUUUUUUCUG
rfam:Brevibacillus panacihumi W25 genomic scaffold Scaffold2, whole genome shotgun sequence.